rnacentral:rRNA from 1 species
GGGGAAUAUUGGACAAUGGGGGCAACCCUGAUCCAGCCAUGCCGCGUGAGUGAUGAAGGCCUUCGGGUUGUAAAGCUCUUUUGGCGGGGACGAUGAUGACGGUACCCGCAGAAUAAGCCCCGGCUAACUUCGUGCCAGCAGCCGCGGUAAUACGAAGGGGGCUAGCGUUGUUCGGAAUUACUGGGCGUAAAGCGCACGUAGGCGGAUUGUUAAGUCGGGGGUGAAAUCCCGGGGCUCAACCCCGGAACUGCCUUCGAUACUGGCAAUCUAGAGUCCGGAAGAGGUGAGUGGAAUUCCGAGUGUAGAGGUGAAAUUCGUAGAUAUUCGGAGGAACACCAGUGACGAAGGCGGCUCACUGGUCCGGUACUGACGCUGAGGUGCGAAAGCGUGGGGAGCAAACA